rnacentral:rRNA from 1 species
ACGCUCGACACCUACGGGAGGCAGCAGGUGGGGAAUAUUGCACAAUGGGGGAAACCCUGAUGCAGCAACGCCGCGUGAAGGAAGACGGUUUUCGGAUUGUAAACUUCUGUUCUUAGUGAAGAUAGUGACGGUAGCUAAGGAGCAAGCCGCGGCUAACUACGUGUCAGCAGCCGCGGUAAUCUGAGCGGGCUGGCAAGGC